UAUAUUUAAUUAAAUUAAAUAUAAAAAAGAAACUAAUUGUUAAGCGCCCAUUGUUUUCCACAAAUUUCCAUUUUCCCACAUUUUUUUCAUUCCCACUCUUAUAAUAACAUUUUAAAUUUUAUAUCUUAAUUUUUUUUCACCAAUUUGUUUCUUAACACAGAUAUUUUCCCAAAAACAUAACAUUUCGCUAAAACGAAAAGCAAAAUGAGUGAGACGAUUCCGACACCUAAUCGCACAAUACGCUGCCGUCAAUCCUCCUCCGCUGUUCAAUCUCCUCCGCCACCGUUUAUUCUCCACCGUCGCUGUUUAAUCUGGAAGCACAAUCCGUUAAUCUCUCGGUUGUUCUCCUUCAAACCCUACUCCGUCGAAGAACCACAACCCCUCCGCCGUUCUCUGUCGUUCUUUGCAUUUCCAAGGAAGGAACCAACUACACACUCCUCCAUAAAUAUGUUUUUGUCAUGGAAGCAAGCUUAUGAAAGAUUGUAAUUAUUAAAGCAAGCUUUCAAGUUUCAAUUCAGGAGGCUGCUCUAGGUAGUAGAAAAAGGAAUUCAAUGGAAGCUUUUGAUAAGGUAAAAAUUUGCUCCCUUUAAAAAUGGUUUGAUCACAAAUGAAUUUUUUUUGAAAGAUGCAUCUGUUUUCUUAAGCUUUGUGUUGUUCUACUUUGGUACUUCAGACUUUGUCAAUUCUUUCAAAUUUGAUUAGAUUUCCUUUGAUGAUAGUAUAUAUACAUGCAUUUACCUUAUGUAUUUGGUCUAGAUUAGGCGGAUUUAUGGUUGAUAUUGAUUUCCUUUGCGUUUAUAUUGAUUUUUGUUUGUUUUUAAAUGUUUCUCUUUGUGUGUGGAAUGACUAAUGAGAUGUGUGCACCAUGCUGAACUUGCAAAGGCCUUUACUUCUCUACAAUUUGUUAUGUCAAGAUAUUGUGUAUUCAACCUUACAUUUGCUAUUGCAUGGUCAAAUCUUGCCGGUCUGUUCGUGGAACCUGGUAAUUUCAACAGAGCCCUACAAUAAAACAAGGUUCCUCCACCGUUACCUAACAAGUGUGAUUGGGAAAUCGAUCCUUAUGAGCUCGACUUUUAAAAUUAUUCGCGAAUUGGAAAGGUUGUUACUGAUGAUUUGAAAGUGCCUAAAAGUACAAGUGUCUAUUAUGGGCUAUACUUGUGUUGCAUGACAUGAAAGGAAGAUCAAAAGAAAUGCAACUUGUAAAAAGGAUGCUUCGUAAGUUAUCAAGACAUGUAGUAAUCAACACUAUGCAAACACCGUCGUCACGAUUUUGUCUUACAAAUUAUAUAUUUGGUUUUGAUAGUUUUUUGGUGGACUUUACUUUCAAUUUGUUAGACAUAUACUUAGUUUUUUUUCUUAGUGUUAUUGUUGUAUGACAUAAUGGUUGUCACUUUUAAGAUUCUCAAAAUUCACACUACCUUUAAUUUAUUUGUGGGUUGAUCUAUUGUGGUUGUCACUUUGUAAUAUAUGACUAUGACUAUUGUUUUAUGGAUCUAUGUGGUUGGGAGAGAA